GUCCACUCAGGAAUACAGCUCAGGAAUAGAAGACAUCAGAGAUGCAAAGGGGCAGGGCAACCAGAAGCCAACACACAAACUGGAACCUCCAGAUGCCUUCAAAAAGAAGCAGGCCUUUACAUCCAGUUUUUUCUCAUGAAGUCUCUUCUGGUUGAGAAGUUACCGAAUUUCAUCAGCCGCUCCAGUGAUUUCCAGAAAAUGAAGAGUCUGAACUUUUCUGGCUGUCUGGAACCUAUAGCUAGAAUUCAGGUAAGUACCCUGUAAAAGAAGAGAGUCCUGUUCAAGAGAGCAUGGUGAACAAGUUAUAAAGCACUGAAGAGGAGGCCCUUAUGGGUCAAGGACAGAAAUCUACAGGGAACCAACUUCUUGGCUCUUCUUGAGUGAGCCAUAUGCCCUGUCCCCUGUGGCUUCUCCAUUUUAAAAAAUUAGGGUGAUAGUUUUUGCAAGGUAUUAUCAUGAUUUCUAUUUAGAUGUACAGUAUAGUGACUGAAGACAUUGGCUUUGGAGUCAGAAAGACCUAGAUUUGAAUCCCGGUUAUGUUACCCACCAACUGUCACUUUGAGCAGAAAACCUCUUUAUGUAUUACUUUUCUCAUUUGUAAAACGGGAGAAAUUAUUAUUCCUAUCUCAUAGGGUCAGUGUGAAGAUUAAAUAAGGUGCCUGGUUCUUAUAGAAAAUAAACUCGUG
rnacentral:lncRNA from 1 species